AACUUUCAACAACGGAUCUCUUGGUUCUGGCAUCGAUGAAGAACGCAGCGAAAUGCGAUAAGUAGUGUGAAUUGCAGAAUUCAGUGAAUCAUCGAAUCUUUGAACGCACAUUGCGCCCCUUGGUAUCCCGAGGGGCAUGCCUGUUCGAGCGUCAUUU
rnacentral:rRNA from 1 species